rnacentral:lncRNA from 1 species
ACGCAACAAAGCUGCUGCAGCUCAAUGACCCAGCUAGUCCGGAGGUGCCCACUGCUCCUUCCCCUCUGUGCCGCAGCCCUUGUCUCGCCGCGCUCGAGGCUCCCAGCUUCAUCUCCAUCCUGGACAAGGCCACCGAACGCAAGAAGCUCAAACUUGAAGGAGGCUCCGGGAAGCGCCCCUUAAAAGGGGAGCUGCCUGGUGCCGAGCUCCUCGAGAUCGCGACGGAAGGUUGCGACCCCCUGGCCCCCAACGACAUCUCUCAGCUGGCGAUCGCUUGCGGCGUGGAUCCGGCUGCUGUUCUCUCGGAGGUGCCCACCGGUCGCUAGAUGGUAGCGCUCAGUCCGCUAUCGACUUGGAUCCCCGCUGUCCCGCUAAGACGAACCCCAUGUUCCCAGGGCUUUCAGUUGUACCCCCCUUUUUUUGCUUUCUUUUUUUUUUCUUUUUAGCUUGUAUCCGGCUGCUCCAGCCUUGUAUCCCGUAAGCGCUUCUUUUUCGGUUUUUAUUUCCCUCUCCUGUUUCCUUAUGCUUUGUAACCUGCUCUACCGUUAUCAAUCUAUCUUAUGCCUUUCCAUUCUUGGUCGCGUCUUUUUUGGUGCCCAGCCCUGUUUUAAUGAGUAGAGGCUUCCCUAUCAUCUUGUGGAAUGUUCGCGGGCUGGGACGUGCGGCCAAAUGCACGGACGUGAAGGCGGCCCUUGCCGUAGCCCCCCCCUCCAUUAUUUGCC